UACGUAGGGGGCAAGCGUUGUCCGGAUUUAUUGGGCGUAAAGAGCGUGUAGGCGGCCAGGUAGGUCCGUUGUGAAAACUCGAGGCUCAACCUCGAGACGUCGGCGGAAACCCUCUGGCUAGAGUUCGGAAGAGGGUCGUGGAAUUCCCAGUGUAGAGGUGAAAUUCGUAGAUAUUGGGAAGAACACCGGUGGCGAAGGCGGCGACCUGGUCCGAUACUGACGCUGAGGCGCGAAAGCGUGGGGAGCAAACAGG
rnacentral:rRNA from 1 species